UACGGAGGGGGCUAGCGUUGUUCGGAAUUACUGGGCGUAAAGCGCACGUAGGCGGCUUUGUAAGUUAGAGGUGAAAGCCCGGGGCUCAACUCCGGAAUUGCCUUUAAGACUGCAUCGCUUGAAUCAUGGAGAGGUGAGUGGAAUUCCGAGUGUAGAGGUGAAAUUCGUAGAUAUUCGGAAGAACACCAGUGGCGAAGGCGACUCACUGGACAGGUAUUGACGCUGAGGUACGAAAGCGUGGGGAGCAAACAGG
rnacentral:rRNA from 1 species